rnacentral:lncRNA from 1 species
AGUUGAGAAGCAAUGCUGUUUCACCUCCCUGAGAGAAUUGCCUUGUUUGUGAAAUACUACAGAAAAACCUGUAUUUUCUCCAGAAAAUGAAAGGUCUUGGCCUGAGUAAAUCAAGGCAGAAAACUCACCCCCGUGAAAGCUGCAGCUCUGAGAGUGUGUGGGCAGGCAUUUCUUUUUCCUUUCCAGCAUUUAUUGCAGAAAAAAUAUGAGGCUUGCUGGUAGUAUUCCCAGGUGACAAAUGUGCACCCAACACCCUACAGAAAAGAAGAACCAUAAAAUAAUUAAUUAUUCCAUUGUAACUCCUGCCUGGAAAACAUCUGAAAGAAGUCACUAGAUUCAGCCCACAUUCAAGAUGAGAAAUACCAGAAGGCAGAGAACACUGAGGCUGUUUUAGAGGCUGUCAACCCCAGGGAGACAGACAGCAAAUAAGAUGCUUGGAUGUUUUCACACCACUCUGACACAUGGAUGGAAGGUUAGAAGACAACAAAGGAAUGGGCUGGGAAGGACUCCAAAAGCAGAAUCAGAGAUUAUAUCAUUCCUUGGAAAUGGAGAAAAGGAUCAAAAAAGCUGAAUAAAAGGCAAACAUGGAGGAACAGAGUUUGGAGCAAUACCCUGACUUACAUUCAGUACUGUUAAUGGCUCCAGCAUCUUGAAACAAACCAAUUUUGGAUUUUCAGCCGCUGUCCAAGAUGACGUGAACUCCAGGCUAUUGACUUUCCUCUACCUUCAAUGGAAAUUGUCAUGGAGAAUUAAGUUUUUGACAAAUCUACAGCCUAUGUGCAGGGCUUCUUCCUGGGUGUAACAAUAAGGAAUUUGGAAACUGUCUCUAGUUUUGGCCUGGAGUCACACUGCAGCUUGAGACCCUGUCAUUUCCAUCAAGCUUGAAAAUAUACAUCUUAAUAAACUGCAAUACUUCUUAAA